GGCGCCCUGAAACCCGAUAUGUCAGGCAAGCUGGUGGGAUCCUGGGAUCCCUCAUGUAACGGCACUCAUUCUGACAGAAGCAGAGAUAAAACAGACUAAGUACACAGAGGAGUUUAAGGUUUCGUGAAUGUAAGUGCUGAGUACAGAAUGGUGCUCAAUAAAAGCUUGUUAAUUGAUGGACCACAGGUUUGUGACAAGACUUCUCAGAGUCUGAUUCUUUCAAGGUGGGAUAUAAGAGUAAGGUAAGCACCUCAGAAAAUGCCUGGGGCAGGUCACUCAGUGUUGCUGGGACUGAUGGUGUUGGCUUGGCUUGACUAGGAUUUAAUAAUACAGAUGUGCCUCAACUUAUGAAGGAGUUAAGUCCCGAUAAACCCAUAGCAAACUUGAAAUACCAUGAGUUCAAAAUGCAUUUAAUACACCUAACUGACUGAACAUUAUCGAUUAGCCUGGCCUACCUUACUCAUGCUCUGAACACUUACAUUAGCCUACAGUUGGGCAAAAUAAUCUAACACAAAGCCUAUUUUAUAAUAAAGUAUUGAAUAUUACAUGUACUUUAUUGACUACUGCACUGAAAGUGAAAAACAGAAUGAUUGCAUAGGUAUGCAAUCAUUGAAGUAUGGUUUCUACUGAACGCAUGUUGCUUUCACACCAUUGUUAAGUCGAACUAACACAAAUCUUGGACGGUUUGUAGUCAUAUCUUACCCUUACAUAAGCCACUUAUUUCACAAACUUAAAUCAUAAGUAAGAACUUGGAUAUCAUCCAAGAAGGCCUUUGAGUAGCCAAAUUAAGUCCGAUUAAAAAAGUUCUUUAAGAUGAAAAAUAGCAGUUUAACCCUGACCAGUCGUUUCUUCUGGUUAAGACAGCACACAUCUAUAUGGUUGACAAAGUUUCAUUUCAUUAUAAACUUGUCUAAAAAGAAUAGUAUUCAAAACACAUUUUUAAGCAUAACAUAGAGCAUUUACUGCUCCAUUAGACACACUUUGAAAAUCAGAAGGCAAUCUCUGAG
rnacentral:lncRNA from 1 species